GCAGCCACAUGGCUGACUUCACGCAGAUCAUGAUCCAGCUGCUGCUGUCAUUCAGAGCACACAACUGAGGAAGUGACUGGGCGGUUCAUGGAAAGGAGCCAGUUCGCCUCUUGAACUCAGCCAGUGCCCAGUGGUUAAAGCAGGAUGCUGUAUGUACGUCAGCCUCCAUAGAGUGUGUCAGGAAAGUGCGACUGAGAUCUUCAUGUCUCUUCCACCAGCUGUGGGACAUGAAACACAGUGUCAGAUUCGCCUGGGCCUUAACUAACCAGCCCCGGAGCUAAAUAACCACCGCAAAUCCUAUUCCUGGAGGUCUGUGUGAGCCCCGGCACCAGGGAAGACCCUGACUUCCGCCUCGGGCAGGGGGAGACUUGCUGGUGCGAUCACACCGUAGAACACAGACAGAACUUAACCUAUUUGGAGGCGCAGAAGAAACAGAGCAGGAUUUUGCCUUUUGAAUAUACUGGGAAGAAAAGAAGCGCUCAGAGCCCAGUAAAAGCUGAACAUUACCAAGUCUUUUUCAACACUGAAAUUAGGUCCCGUGAGCACGAGGCCCACCUAGCAGCCGGGAUUGUUACGCAGCAGCAUCUAAAUGGGAGAUGAACAGUCCUAGCCACAUGCUGGUUUGGAGGCAGUUUCCUGCAAAACGACGCUGUAAAUCCAGGAAGCUGUGUCUUCCCUAUUUCCUGAAGUACUAUUGGGAUGUUUCUGAAGAGAGUCGGACAUGUGACAUAGACCAGCCAAUCAGAGGAUUCUCUGCCCUGCCAGAAGCCGUCAAUCGGAGUUCCCUGCCCUGCCACAGGCCAGCCAAUCCGAGUUCUCUGUCCUGCUACAGGCUAGCCAAUCAGAGGAGUCCCUGAUCGUCCACAAGCCAGUCAAUCAGAGUUCCCCGCGCUUCCACAGGCCAGCCAGUCCGAGUUCUCUGCCCUACAAAGGCUAGCCAAUCAGAGAAUUCCCUGUCCGGGCCUUAGGCCGGUGGAUCAGCGCCGUCUACUUUUCCCCAGUUCCACCCCUGGCUUUGAAAAAUUGACUUGUAGGUGUGGGAGGGAGUGGCUUUCUCUCAUCUGGGAUUGAGAUCUACACAAAGAAGCAGAGAAGAGCAGAGAGAAGAGAUGGAGAAUGAGAGAAAGGGAAACCCG
rnacentral:lncRNA from 1 species